rnacentral:lncRNA from 1 species
GCCCGACUGAGACAGAAACUCGCCUCAGACGCCAAAACUAAAGUUAGGAGAAGCGCCCGCCCGCGCCGCCGCGGCCCCGCCUCCUCUCGGCUCUUCCUUCCUCUGCGCGCCCGCCCGCACCGCGGCCCGGCCGGCAGCGCAGGAAAACUUUUCGCUGCAAGUUGCUACAUUCCUGCACACUCCCGGCCCGCGGCGCCUCUGCCGGCCGCACGUGACCCACUCGCCCUGGCCCGGUCCGCCCUUCGCCCGCGCUAAGCCGGGCAGGGGCCCGGCCCCGUAUUCUGCCCCAUGAACCACAAACGAUGGGUACAAUCCGGGUCCGAACUGUGGUGUCUGCGGAGAACGCGGGCGCCCUUGGCUGCAGGAAGUCCUUCCGCUCCGCUCGGCCCCUUUUCCCCGCCCGUGCUCGGGAAAGGCGCUUCUAGCUCGCUUGGACCUGCGAAAAGGCCAAGGCCGAAAAGUGGAGAGAGGAUGUGCGAACCCACCUCCUCCUCCUCGCGUUACCCCGGCUUGACCGAGCGGAGCGCCUGUGCGAGCUUAAAGCCGCGAGGAUAGAUUGGAGUUAGAAUAGAUACCGUGAGCCGGCAUUGAUGUUAAUAAAGGUCCAUUGUUUUCAGCAUUAA